rnacentral:rRNA from 1 species
GUCUACGGCCAUACCACCCUGAACGCACCCGAUCUCGUCUGAUCUUGGAAGCUAAGCAGGAUCAGGAGACAAAUCAAAAAUAGGAUGCCUGUUUCCGGGAGAACAUGGCGGACAGAUAACAGCAACUACCGGAGGCU